UACGUAGGGGGCUAGCGUUGUCCGGAUUUAUUGGGCGUAAAGAGCGUGUAGGCGGCCAUGUAGGUCCGGUGUGAAAACUCGAGGCUUAACCUCGAGAUGUCAUCGGAAACCAUUUGGCUAGAGUCCGGAAGAGGAGAGUGGAAUUCCUGGUGUAGCGGUGAAAUGCGCAGAUAUCAGGAGGAACACCGGUGGCGAAGGCGGCUUUCUGGACGACAACUGACGCUGAGACGCGAAAGCGUGGGGAGCAAACAGG
rnacentral:rRNA from 1 species